rnacentral:rRNA from 1 species
GACGAACGCUGGCUGCGUGCUUAACACAUGCAAGUCGAACGCUGAAGCCCUGGUGCUUGCACCGGGGUGGAUGAGUGGCGAACGGGUGAGUAACACGUGAGUAACCUGCCCCCGACUUCGGGAUAAGCCCGGGAAACUGGGUCUAAUACCGGAUAUGACCAUGACUCGCAUGAGUGAUGGUGGAAAGUUUUUUCGGUUGGGAUGGGCUCGCGGCCUAUCAGUUUGUUGGUGAGGUAAUGGCUCACCAAGACGACGACGGGUAGCCGGCCUGAGAGGGCGACCGGCCACACUGGGACUGAGACACGGCCCAG